GACGAACGCUGGCGGCGUGCUUAACACAUGCAAGUCGAACGGAAAGGCCCUGCUUUUUUGGGGUGCUCGAGUUGCUAACGGGUGAGUAACACGUGAGUAACCUGCCCUUGACUUUGGGAUAACUUCAGGUUACUGGGGCUUAUUCCUGAUAGGAGCUCCUGCUUCUUGGUGUGGGUUGUAAAGUUUCGGCGGUUUGUGUUUGACUCGCGGCUUAUCAGCUUGUUGGUGGGGUAGUGGCUUACCAAGGCUUUGACGGGUAGCCGGCCUGAGAGGGUGACAGGCCACAGAGGGACAGGGAAGGGACCAGUAGGGAUACGGGAGGCAGCAGUGAAGAUUAGUGCAAGAAGGGCGGAAGGAUGAAGCAGGAACGCCGCGUGGGGGAUGACGGCCAUCGGGGUGUAAACCGCUUUCGGCUGUGAGGAAGAGUGAGUGACGGUAAUGGGUAAAGAAGCAACGGCUAACUACGUG
rnacentral:rRNA from 1 species